rnacentral:rRNA from 1 species
ACCUAUAAGACUGGGAUAACUUCGGGAAACCGGAGCUAAUACCGGAUAACAUAUUGAACCGCAUGGUUCAAUAGUGAAAGGCGGCUUUGCUGUCACUUAUAGAUGGAUCCGCGCCGUAUUAGCUAGUUGGUAAGGUAACGGCUUACCAAGGCAACGAUACGUAGCCGACCUGAGAGGGUGAUCGGCCACACUGGAACUGAGACACGGUCCAGACUCCUACGGGAGGCAGCAGUAGGGAAUCUUCCGCAAUGGGCGAAAGCCUGACGGAGCAACGCCGCGUGAGUGAUGAAGGUCUUCGGAUCGUAAAACUCUGUUAUCAGGGAAGAACAAAUGUGUAAGUAACUGUGCACAUCUUGACGGUACCUGAUCAGAAAGCCACGGCUAACUACGUGCCAGCAGCCGCGGUAAUACGUAGGUGGCAAGCGUUAUCCGGAAUUAUUGGGCGUAAAGCGCGCGUAGGCGGUUUUUUAAGUCUGAUGUGAAAGCCCACGGCUCAACCGUGGAGGGUCAUUGGAAACUGGAAAACUUGAGUGCAGAAGAGGAAAGUGGAAUUCCAUGUGUAGCGGUGAAAUGCGCAGAGAUAUGGAGGAACACCAGUGGCGAAGGCGACUUUCUGGUCUGUAACUGACGCUGAUGUGCGAAAGCGUGGGGAUCAAACAGGAUUAGAUACCCUGGUAGUCCACGCCGUAAACGAUGAGUGCUAAGUGUUAGGGGGUUUCCGCCCCUUAGUGCUGCAGCUAACGCAUUAAGCACUCCGCCUGGGGAGUACGACCGCAAGGUUGAAACUCAAAGGAAUUGACGGGGACCCGCACAAGCGGUGGAGCAUGUGGUUUAAUUCGAAGCAACGCGAAGAACCUUACCAAAUCUUGACAUCCUUUGACCGCUCUAGAGAUAGAGUCUUCCCCUUCGGGGGACAAAGUGACAGGUGGUGGCAUGGUUGUCGUCAGCUCGUGUCGUGAGAUGUUGGGUUAAGUCCCGCAACGAGCGCAACCCUUAAGCUUAGUUGCCAUCAUUAAGUUGGGCACUCUAAGUUGACUGCCGGUGACAAACCGGAGGAAGGUGGGGAUGACGUCAAAUCAUCAUGCCCCUUAUGAUUUGGGCUACACACGUGCUACAAUGGACAAUACAAAGGGCAGCUAAACCGCGAGGUCAAGCAAAUCCCAUAAAGUUGUUCUCAGUUCGGAUUGUAGUCUGCAACUCGACUACAUGAAGCUGGAAUCGCUAGUAAUCGUAGAUCAGCAUGCUACGGUGAAUACGUUCCCGGGUCUUGUACACACCGCCCGUCACACCACGAGAGUUU